UACCUGGGGAUUCCCAGGCCAUUUCUGCCCACUGCUUUUGCGUAAAGAGCCGUUUUUCGCUAAGGUAGCGUAAUCAAAAGUUUAUUAAUUGUAAACCAGCAUGAAAGAAACAACCUUUAACAGUUUUAUUUUUAAGAUAACAGAAAUUAAUGGAAUAAGAGAAAAAUUCCUUUAGUGCAAGACGAGAAGACCCUAAAAGCUUUCUUUAAAAGUUCUUUGGGGAAAAGUUUUAUAGCAAUUUUUAUUUAAAAUUCAUAUAAUAACUGCAAAAAUAAGCUACUUUAGGGAUAACAGAGUAAUUGUAAAAGAAAGAACUUAUAGAUUUUACAGAUUACGACCUCGAUGUUGGAUUUUCUUAUCUAUCGGCCGCAGUAGGCCGAAAAGAAAGACUGUUCGUUUUUUAAAAAGAG
rnacentral:rRNA from 1 species